rnacentral:rRNA from 1 species
AGCAGCCGCGGUAAUUCCAGCUCCAAUAGCGUAUAUUAAAGUUGUUGCAGUUAAAAAGCUCGUAGUUGAAUUUCGGGACCAAUUUGUUGGUCGUGCCUCGGUACGUACUGGUAUUAUUGGUUUCUCCCUUCUGAAGAACCUCGAUGCCAUUAAUUUGGUGUCGUGGGGAAUCAGGACUGUUACUUUGAAAAAAUUAGAGUGUUUAAAGCAAGCAUACGCUUGAAUACAUUAGCAUGGAAUAAUGAAAUAGGACGUUUGAUUCUAUUUUGUUGGUUUCUAGGAUCGACGUAAUGAUUAAUAGGGAUAGUUGGGGGCAUUAGUAUUCAAUUGUCAGAGGUGAAAUUCUUGGAUUUAUUGAAGACUAACUACUGCGAAAGCAUUUGCCAAGGAUGUUUUCAUUAAUCAAGAACGAAAGUUAGGGGAUCGAAGACGAUCAGAUACCGUCGUAGUCUUAACCAUAAACUAUGCCGACUAGGGAUCGGAUGAUGUUAAUUUUUAAUGACUCAUUCGGCGCC